UGCAACUGACAUAUAGAGCAACUUUAAAAUAAUUGUAUGUUCGAUGUAAAUAACUCAUAUAUUGUUUCCAUUUUGAUGAGAUAAACUCUAUGUUUUCACUCCUUUGUACACAUCCUUUGUAAACGGUACAUCUUGUAGAUUUUUGGUAACGCAAACAAUUUAGCCCCUGUUAAACAUUUAUACAGGAUAACAGAUUCUGAAAUUUAGCAAUAGGAACAGGUUGUUAGAUGCAAUGCUUUUUAGUUUUCAAAGUUUACCAAGUAUUUAAAACAUUUGCUUAAUUAUGUUUUACAUUCUAAAGAAUAAUUGAUAUCUCAAAACGUAAAUCACUAAAUUACAAAUCAAAGGAGAGUUAUGUAAUAUGCUUGCAAUUGCUAAGAAGUGCAGUUGUUGUUUUUUUCUUUUCCGGUUAAAGCAAUGUCAUUUGCUUAAAAAAGUUGUCUCCCUUGUAAGAAAAUUAAUGUGUUCACAUCUCAACAUAACAAGUAAAUUCAUACAGUACAUGUAUUUAAAAUUAUUCACAUGAUAUUCACCAAUAAGUCUAAUGGAAUUUGUAGAAUAAAAUAUAACAUGUUAUUAUGACGAUUAUAAGUGAAUGUUUGGCACAAAAUGCCUCUUAAUCUCUAUAUUUACAACUUCAGCAAAUGUCUAAGACCAGACUUUCCUAAAUGGUGUGGUUGUUGACAUUAAUAUAAAAUUUAGUUCAUGAACCAUAAAUGUUUUGUUGUUGAACAUAUAAAAAAAGCUUUAUGUAUAUUAAUUUUAUGUCAUAUUUCAAACAUAUCAUAUUGAUACGAUUGACAGAAAAUAAACAUUUUGCUUUAAUGUGUAUACAUGAAGUGUAUACAUGAGUAACGAUUGGUACCAUUCAAGCAUGUUAAUAAUGAACUACAGUUGUAGUACUAGAUGCAUUUUUAGCUCAUCUAUUUUUUGGAGAAAAAAAAAAUGAGCUAUUGUCAUCACCUUGGCAUCGGCGUCGGGUUAUGUUUUGUGUUUAGGUCCACUUUUCUCAGAAAGUAUCAAAGCUAUUGCAUUCACACUUGGUACACUUACUUACUAUCAUGAGGGGACAGAACAGGCAAAGUGAGAUAACUCUGGCGUGCAUUUUUACAGAAUUAUGUGCCCUUUUUAUACUUAGAAAAUUUAAAAUUUGGUUAAGUUUUGUGUUUAGGUCUACUUUAUUCCUAAAGUAUCAAAGCUAUUGCUUUCAUACUUGCAACACUUACUAACUAUGUUAAGGGGACUGUGCAGGCAAAGUUGCAUCACUCUAGUUGUCAUUUUGACGGAAUUAUGGCCCUUUUUUGACUUAGUAACUUUGAAUAUAUGGUUAUAUUUUGUGUUUCGAUCCACUUUACUUCCAAAGUAUCAAGCUUUGUAUUGCUUUCAAACUUCAAAUACUUUCAUGCUAUCAUGCGGGUACUGUACCUGGCAAGUUGAAUUUUACCUUGACCUUUGAUUGACUAUCAAGGUCAAAUUAUUAAAUUUUGCUAAAAUUACCAUAACUUCUUUAGUUAUGAUUAGAUUUGAUUGAUACUUUGACAUAAGAACUCUUUCCUGACAUAACAAAAUAGACUCUACCCAAACCAUUCCCAAAGAGCCCCCCCCCCCCUCCAACCCCAGAAUCCAGAAUCCCCCAUCCAAUUUUUUUUGUUUUUCAUUCUUUUUUAAAGAUCAUCUCAUAAAUAAAACCAUCACACUAUACCCUCCACCGCCCCCCCCCCCCAAUUUUUUUUUAUUUGUUAAAAACAAAAAAAAAAAAUAUUUUAUUUUUGAAAUACCGUCCAACCAUCCCACUCAAGAAUACCCCCCCCCCCCCCCAAAAAAAAAAACAACAACAAAUUGUUUGUUUUCUUAUUUUUUGAAGAUAAUGUAAUAAAUGACCACACCCCCACAAUAUACACCCCUCUCCACUCCACCCCUCCCUCCUUUGUGAUUGAAGUAUUGAGAGUCCCUUCACCUUUAAAAGAAAAAUAGAUAGCGGUCUGCACCCGCAAGGCGGUGCUCUUGUUUUGAUCAUGUCUUAAUUUGUUCGUCUACUCCAAAUAAACAUGUUGCAUUUGUAAAUAAAGCGUGUAUAACCUCUAUGUACUGUCCCAAGGUCUGUUUUCAAAUACUUGAGUACCUCAUAUUGAGCAGAGACUUACCAAUUUAUGGCAUUAUUUGUUAUGCACAUGUCUGACUUAUAUAAAUAUCUUCAAAUUCUGAGAUUACUGUUCAGGGUAUUUUAAAGGUAAAAGUUUAAAUAUUUCUAUAGACUGUAACCUGGUGUCUGUUAAGUUAAUUUUAAUACAUUUAUAAUGUCUAGCGUAUUGAAUGUGUAAGUGUCUUUAUUCUCGCCCGCAUGCAUUGUUGCUGUAUGCUUUGACAAAGCUUACUACACAGCUCAUGUGUUUGUUUAUCAUUUAUAACCAGUGGUUUGUCCGCAGAGGUUACAUAAUACUAUACUCACUUAAUAAAUCAACUUCAUUUAUUGAUUUGAUUUUGUAUAUAUUCACUUCUCAUGACUGAAUCUGCUAUAGGCCUUUGAAUAUGUGGUAAGAAAAACAUUUUUUAUUAAAGGUUAGAAACUCUAUUAUCAGAUUUUGACAGAUGGUGGUUAACAUUUAACUGGAGAGUAGCCGGGAAAAAAAUGGCUGUAAAACAGUGAAGUUUGAUCCACUUUUAGUUAUGUCUUAUAUAUCACAUUAUCUAUAUUUUUUGUUAAUUUGGAUCAUAAUGAUCUUUAAAAAAUGGAAUGAUUAUGAGGGUUUCCAAAAUGAUGCAUUUAUUUUAUGUUAAAGUUAUUGCUUUCAAUUUUAAUUUGUUAUGGAAAUAUUUAAGUUUAUGUGACUUACAGAGAUAUACAUGUUUAUGUAAGUGAUGUGCUGUUUGAUGAUUUAAGAAUUGUCUUGCACUCUGAUUAAAGUAGAUCGCCAUUGAUUCAAGUUCGAAUACUGAUGUACAGUUAAAGUGUGUUGUACUUUCAAAUAAAAAUACUAUGUAAA